UUCGGUGUUUCACUUUCUCACUUGGCUAUUUUGGAUUUUAUGGGAGUAUUUAUUAAAUUUGUUUUGAUUUUAUGGAAUUUGGGAAUUCACGUAUACUAUUAUUUGGUUGUGGUGGAUUUUAUGCUACAAAAGAAUUAACAAGCACUGGUAUGCCUUACAAGGUUUACAAGUGUGGUUGUCUUUGAUUUUAACUUGUUUGCUACUCAUUGAACACUUCUAUGUGUUGCAGGAAGCAAACCCCUUGAACCUGAACAGAGCACAGACAAGGAGGCAAGAAAGGUUGGUUUACUCUUUUUGUUUGCUCCUCUGGUUUACCCCUUGAAUGUUUUUGAAAGAUGGAUUAUAAAUAGUUGACAUGAUGCAUUACUAUUUUUAUGAGGUAACUUGAUUGUGCAAUUGCAAUGUUACAUAGUAAGAUUUUUUCCUGGUUUAAAUCAUCAUGAACAAGCGCACUUGAUUUUAGUCACACUUCCUAAGUAAGCAUGGCUCUUCCACUUCCACUUGAUUCGGUUUGAUUAGAAUAUGUUUGUUUAACUGUUAAUUUGCAUUGAAUUAGAUUGAAUAUUGAAAUUGCUAAUUUUCUUUUCCUAUGCUUUUCAUAAAGGAGUUAGUUUUAUUAGCAGCAUCAAAGAUCGAAAAAUAAAGGAAGUUUACAUGACUGAGGAAGAAGCUGAUAAAAUUGCUGGGUUAGGUGAUGUUGAAUUUGUGAUGCCUGGGGAAUAUCAUGUUCUAUUUCCGAAGCCACCUUCUCCUCCUCUCGUGCAGAAGAUCGUUAUUAUCCAUGUUAAACAUCUUUGGAGCCACCCGGACCAGAAGCUGCUGGUGCAACCCCACAGGAAUGGAUGCUUGGAUGUUGAAAUAAUGCCACCGUG